rnacentral:rRNA from 1 species
AAUAAACGAGCGGGAAUAGUUCAGUGGUAGAGCGCAACCUUGCCAAGGUUGAAGUCGCGAGUUCGAAUCUCGUUUCCCGCUCCAAAUUUUAUGUUUAUGUUGUAAUGUGGGUGCAUAGCUCAGCUGGAUAGAGCAACGCCCUUCUAAGGCGUGUGUCCGGGGUUCGAAUCCCUGUGCGCUCACCACAUAUAUAUUGGGGAUUAGCCAAGUCGGUAAGGCACAUGACUUUGACUCAUGUAUGCGUAGGUUCGAGUCCUGCAUCCCCAGCCAAACAGUAUGGUCUAUUAGCUCAGUCGGUAGAGCACCUGACUUUUAAUCAGGGUGUCCCGCGUUCGAGUCGCGGAUAGAUCACCAAUGGAGAGGUGUCCGAGUGGUUUAAGGAGCUGGUCUUGAAAACCAGUGACUUCGAAAGGGGCCGUGGGUUCGAAUCCCACCCUCUCCGCCAAAUGCCCAGAUAGCUCAGUCGGUAGAGCAGGGGACUGAAAAUCCCCGUGUCGGUGGUUCGAUUCCGCCUCUGGGCACCAAAAUGUGGCGGUAUAGCUUAGUUGGCUAGAGCGUUCGGUUCAUACCCGAAAGGUCAUAGGUUCGACUCCUAUUACCGCUACUAAAAUUUAAUGUGGGCCAUUAGCUCAGUUGGUUAGAGCGCCCGGCUCAUAACCGGUAGGUCUGGGGUUCGAGUCCCUGAUGGCCCACCACAUUAAAUUAAUUAAUAUAAAUUCGAGGUGUAGCGCAGUUUGGUAGCGCACAUGGUUUGGGACCAUGGGGCCGGGGGUUCGAGUCCCUUCACCUCGACCAAUAUAAGGUGGGUAUAGCUCAGUUGGUUAGAGCGCCAGAUUGUGGCUCUGGAGGUCGUGAGUUCGACUCUCAUUAUCCACCCCAAUUCAUAUGGUCUAUUAGCUCAGUCGGUAGAGCACCUGACUUUUAAUCAGGGUGUCCCGCGUUCGAGUCGCGGAUAGAUCACCAAAAAGGUGGCGACAUAGCCAAGUGGUAAGGCAGUGGACUGCAACUCCUUGAUCCCCAGUUCGAAUCUGGGUGUCGCCUCCAAAAUAUUCCAAGGUAGCUCAACGGUGGAGCAACCGGCUGUUAACCGGUAGGCUGUGGGUUCGAGCCCCACCCUUGGAGCCAAAAAAGCCGAAGUGGCGGAACUGGCAGACGCACAGGACUUAAAAUCCUGCGGGACUUACCUCUCGUACCGGUUCGAUUCCGGUCUUCGGCACUUAUAAAACAAUAUCGCGGAGUGGAGCAGUUGGCAGCUCGUCGGGCUCAUAACCCGAAGGUCGUAGGUUCAAGUCCUGCCUCCGCAACCAUUAAAAUGGCUCGUUGGUCAAGAGGUUAAGACACCGCCCUUUCACGGCGGUAACAGGGGUUCAAUUCCCCUACGAGUCACCAAUUAAAUAUGCGGGUGUAGCUCAAUGGUAGAGUUCUGGCCUUCCAAGCCAGCUGUGAGGGUUCGAUCCCCUUCACCCGCUCCAAAAAUGGGACCAUAGCUCAGCUGGGAGAGCACCUGCCUUACAAGCAGGGGGUCACAGGUUCGAGCCCUGUUGGUCCCACCAUUUGCGGCCUGGUAGUUCAGUUGGUUAGAAUGCCAGCCUGUCACGCUGGAGGUCGAGGGUUCGANNNNNNNNNNNNNNNNNNNNNNNNNNNNNNNNNNNNNNNNNAUUAAAAACUUAAUAGAAAUAUUAAGCAUAAAGAUUAUGUGGUUACAAUAGCAGAGAGGAUACACCUGUUCCCAUUUCGAACACAGAAGUUAAGCUCCCUAGCGCUGAUGGUACUNUAAGUUCCGACCCGCACGAAAGGCGUAACGAUUUGGGCACUGUCUCAACAACAGACUCGGUGAAAUUGUAAUUCCGGUGAAGAUGCCGGAUACCUGCGACAGGACGGAAAGACCCCAUGGAGCUUUACUGUAGCUUGACAUUGGGUCUUGGUACUACAUGUACAGGAUAGGUGGGAGGCUUUGAAACCAGGACGCCAGUUUUGGCGGAGCCAUCCUUGGGAUACCACCCUUGUAGUACUGGGACUCUAACCAUAGGCCAUGAAUCUGGUCUUGGGACACUGUCAGGUGGGCAGUUUGACUGGGGCGGUCGCCUCCCAAAAGGUAACGGAGGCGCUCAAAGGUUCUCUCAGUACGGUCGGAAAUCGUACGUAGAGUGUAAAGGCAAAAGAGAGCUUGAUUGCAAGACAUACAGGUCGAGCAAGGAUGAAAAUCGGACUUAGUGAUCCGGUGGUUCUGCGUGGAAGGGCCAUCGCUCAACGGAUAAAAGCUACCCUGGGGAUAACAGGCUUAUCUCCCCCAAGAGUCCACAUCGACGGGGAGGUUUGGCACCUCGAUGUCGGCUCAUCACAUCCUGGGGCUGUAGUAGGUCCCAAGGGUUGGGCUGUUCGCCCAUUAAAGUGGUACGCGAGCUGGGUUCAGAACGUCGUGAGACAGUUCGGUCCCUAUCCGUCGCAGGCGUAGGAAAUUUGAGAAGACCUGUCCUUAGUACGAGAGGACCGGGAUGGACGUACCUCUGGUGUACCAGUUGUCCUGCCAAGGGCAUGGCUGGGUAGCUAUGUACGGAAUGGAUAAGCGCUGAAAGCAUCUAAGCGCGAAGUCAACUUCAAGAUAAGAUUUCCCACCGCAAGGGUAAGACCCCAGAAAGACUAUCUGGUUGAUAGGUCGAAGGUGUAAGUGCAGCAAUGUAUUUAGCUUAUCGAUACUAAUAGGUCGAGGACUUGACC